rnacentral:rRNA from 1 species
UACGUAGGGUGCAAGCGUUGUCCGGAUUUAUUGGGCGUAAAGAGCUCGUAGGCGGUCUGUCGCGUCGGAUGUGAAAACCCAGGGCUCAACCCUGGGCCUGCAUUCGAUACGGGCAGACUAGAGUGUGGCAGGGGAGACUGGAAUUCCUGGUGUAGCGGUGAAAUGCGCAGAUAUCAGGAGGAACACCGGUGGCGAAGGCGGGUCUCUGGGCCGAUACUGACGCUGAGGAGCGAACGCGUGGGGAGCGAACAGG